CCUACGGGAGGCAGCAGUGGGGAAUAUUGGACAAUGGGCGAAAGCCUGAUCCAGCCAUGCCGCGUGUGUGAAGAAGGCCUUCGGGUUGUAAAGCACUUUCAGUGGGGAAGAAAGCCUUGGGGCUAAUGCCCUCGAGGAAGGACAUCACCCACAGAAGAAGCACCGGCUAACUCCGUGCCAGCAGCCGCGGUAAUACGGAGGGUGCGAGCGUUAAUCGGAAUUACUGGGCGUAAAGCGCGCGUAGGCGGUCUGAUAAGCCGGUUGUGAAAGCCCCGGGCUCAACCUGGGAACGGCAUCCGGAACUGUCAGGAUAGAGUGCAGGAGAGGAAGGUAGAAUUCCCGGUGUAGCGGUGAAAUGCGUAGAGAUCGGGAGGAAUACCAGUGGCGAAGGCGGCCUUCUGGACUGACACUGACGCUGAGGUGCGAAAGCGUGGGUAGCAAACAGGAUUAGAUACCCGAGUAGUC
rnacentral:rRNA from 1 species